GUGCCAGCAGCCGCGGUAAUACGGAGGAUGCAAGCGUUAUCCGGAAUGAUUGGGCGUAAAGCGUCUGUAGGUGGUUUGUGUAGUCCCAUGUCAAAGACCAGGACUUAACCCUGGGCCGGCAUGUGGAAACUCGCAAGGUUGAGUACGGUAGGGGCAGGGGGAAUUCCCGGUGUAGCGGUGAAAUGCGUAGAUAUCGGGAAGAACACCAAUGGCGAAAGCACUCUGCUGGGCCGAAACUGACACUAAGAGACGAAAGCUAGGGGAGCGAAUGGGAUUAGAUACCCCAGUAGUCC
rnacentral:rRNA from 1 species